rnacentral:lncRNA from 1 species
CGGGUAGUCGAUCACCGUAAUCUGAUCACCAUCAGAGGACUCUGAUCAUCAUGUCACAACCAUACUAGUAUCUGACCUCUGUGGAUCAUCCACAUGAAGCUCCCGUCUGAUCGGCUUCUCACGAAUGCUAGUUCGUGAUUUCACCCUUUUGAUAGCUGAUGUUGAUCGAACUCCUUCGAUCGAUGUGUGCCAACUCCUCGGAUGCU